rnacentral:lncRNA from 1 species
CCUGGGUGCACACUGGUGGGGGGGGGGAAGGUCAUUGCUGAUGUCUGGAGAGCAAGGCGCAGCUGCCUAAGGGGGACGCAGGUGGUCUGGCUCCAAGACAGCCCAGAGGGGCGCAUAAAGGGCCCUGCCUUGCCCCUGCACAUCUCUGAGGCUGGUACAGGGUCAGCUCAGGCUUCUGGGAAGAGAGAUGGGCUCUCGAGCCUCCCAGGAAGGAGACAAGUCACAGAAAAAUGAUGGUUUGAUCUUUGGAGAAAGAGCAUUUGAGAUGGUGUAAAGGGAAUUUCUAAGGAAUCGGCUCUGUAGCAGGAAAGCUGAGAAGGAAGGAGUAAAGUUUCAUCUUCUCAUAAUGAAGUGUGCUCUGAUGUCUCAAAAAGUUCCAGGACACCCGACCCUCCAGCCUUGCACAGCUGUAGGCUCUGGAUGGAGUGCCCGGCAGGGGAUCCUAAUUUUGUAAGCCUCUUCUUUCUACCACGCUUUUCACACUUCUUGGGGGCAUUCAGCCUGCCUUCUUCCUUCUCUGAGCUUUUUCUUUUUUUCUCUCUCUCAUUCUUCUCCUGAGUUUUCUGGAAUAUUUGGAAUUUUUUUUUUAAGAGUAAAAGCUUUUAUCUCCUCCUUUAUUGUUGAUCUUAAAAUGUGUUUUAUGUAUCUUGAGGACCCCGUUUUACUGCCCUAAAACUCACUCUCCUGUUUAUUUUUCCGCCCUGCUAUCUUGCAGGUGACUGGAAGGGGUCUCUUGAACUGAUACGGUUCCUGAACCUAUAAACUCCCUCUGCAUCUAGACGCCAGAGGAAGCUGCGGUUUCUGGCCAUGGUCGGCGUCCCUAAGCUCCCUUGCAUCUCCUGCAAAGCUUUGCCUCUCACCCUGAGCCCUUCGCUUUGGCAGAGCCCUACGCAGAGUCUCAGCGAGGAUGUCCGCCUCCCGCGCAUUCAACCGGAACUCAAACACCACUUCCUGGAUUGCAUCUUUCUGCGAAAUACGUCACUUCCUGGAUUACAUCACUUCCUGGAGUCUAGCAUCUCACGGGGCCCCUGGGACCAACAACUUCCCUACUUGAUUUUGUCCUUGUCACCUGUAGGUAGCUUGGAAGUCACUCUCAUGACUUUUAGUUGCGAUUAGGGUGUUAAGUGUUCUUAUCACAAACAAAGAAACAAACAAAGGGACGUAAGGAAACUUAGGGAGGCAAUGGCUAGGUCUGUUACCUUGUUUGUGGUAAAUGCAGCCUAGUGUUUGCCCAUGUCCAAACCCAUAAAACUGUACAUAUUAAAUACCUAUAAUUCUUAGAUAUCAAUUAUGCCUCGAUAGAGCUGUCUAUUUUUAAGAUUUCAUUUAUUUAUUUGUCAAAGACAGAGCACAAGCAGGGGGAGCAGCAGGCAGAAGAGAGGGAGAAGUAGGCUCCCGGCCGCUGAGCAGGGAGCCCAAUGCGGGGCUCGAUCCCAGGACCCUGGGAUCAUGACCUGAGCCGAAGGCAGAUGCUUAACCAACUGAGCCACCCCGGCGCCCCUGACAAAGCUGUUUUAAAAUAAACAAACCCAACGUGGUAUCA